rnacentral:rRNA from 1 species
AUUGAACGCUGGCGGCAUGCCUUACACAUGCAUGUCGAACGGCAGCACGGGAGCAAUCCUGGUGGCGAGUGGCGAACGGGUGAGUAAUAUAUCGGAACGUGCCCAGUCGUGGGGGAUAACGUAGCGAAAGCUACGCUAAUACCGCAUACGAUCUACGGAUGAAAGCGGGGGAUCGCAAGACCUCGCGCGAUUGGAGCGGCCGAUAUCAGAUUAGCCAGUUGGUGGGGUAAAGGCCCACCAAGGCGACGAUCUGUAGCUGGUCUGAGAGGACGACCAGCCACACUGGAACUGAGACACGGUCCAGACUCCUACGGGAGGCAGCAGUGGGGAAUUUUGGACAAUGGGCGCAAGCCUGAUCCAGCAAUGCCGCGUGCAGGAUGAAGGCCUUCGGGUUGUAAACUGCUUUUGUACGGAACGAAACGGCGAGCUCCAAUAAAGUUUGCUAAUGACGGUACCGUAGGAAUAAGCACCGGCUAACUACGUGCCAGCCGCCGCAGUAA